CGCAGCGUGGCGGAGUCUGGUAGACGCGCCAGCAUGAGAGGCUGGUGGCCGAAAGGCCGGGCAGGUUCGAUCCCUGUCGCUGCGACCA
rnacentral:tRNA from 1 species